AGUGAACGCUGGCGGCGUGCUUAACACAUGCAAGUCAAACGAGAACGGGUUAUAGCUUGCUAUAAUUGUCAGCUAAGUGGCGCACGGGUGAGUAAUGUAUAGGUAAUAUGCCUCUUACUAAGGGAUAACAAAUGGAAACGUUUGCUAAUACCUUAUACUCCUUAUUAACAGAAGUUAAUAAGGGAAAGAUUUAUUGGUAAGAGAUUAGCCUGUAUUGUAUCAGUUAGUUGGUGAGGUAAUGGCUUACCAAGACUAUGACACAUAACUGGUUUGAGAGGAUGAUCAGUCACACUGGAACUGAGACACGGUCCAGACUCCUACGGGAGGCAGCAGUGGGGAAUAUUGCACAAUGGACGAAAGUCUGAUGCAGCAACGCCGCGUGGAGGAUGACACAUUUCGGUGCGUAAACUCCUUUUAUAUGAGAAGAUAAUGACGGUAUUAUAUGAAUAAGCACCGGCUAACUCCGUGCCAGCCGCCACCGUAA
rnacentral:rRNA from 1 species